UCCGCCCUUGCGCACGUCCCUCCUGGCAAAACUCUAGUCGUCGUGCGGGGAUUGGUUGCCAUCGACGUUGUUGCCUUGGAGCUACCAGCGCGUGAUUUGACCUAUGACGUUUCAUGCCUGAGUGCUAUUUAUUGGACUCACUCCACUUGAUCCCAAGUGAUGCGAUCAUACAGGACAAACAAUUUCCUUUGAAGGUCUGUCUAGCCUCCUCCCUUGUCUGUUCGUAGUUGCUGCUUUCUGGCAAGCCGUACAAAUUGGUCUACCACAACCCACAGCCGCCCCCCCCUGCAUUUUGAAACAAAUGGAAUUAAGAUUCGAAGUUAGUAGAAAAUUGAUAACAUUUUGAGAAUCGUCACAUCACACAACCAAGUAAAAUCAUAUAGACAGAUGACACGAAAAUGGCGCAUCCAUGUAUUCAACAAUCACAUAGCAUGUUCUGUUUCACCCAGGAAAUAAAAAAAAUAAAAGAUCACAUAACAUAUUUUACUUAAAUUUAUUUCAUCACCUUAGUGAACUAGAGAAUAGAAGAAUAAUGUAUUUUUUGUUAUGAACAUGAAUAGUACAUCUAGUUCAGCAAAGAAAAGAAAAGAUAGGGAGAAAAUAUAUGAUUGUUUGAAACCAACUAUUUCAGUGAUAAUAUGCAAAUAUGGUAAUUGUUUGCUUAAUGAAAUGUUCACUAUAUAUGUGCAGAAGUAGAACAGAGUUAUAUAGGUGUUACCCUGGUGAUUUGGCUCUGCUUCUCCUGUUUCGAAAGAGGAUUUUCUUCUUUCUGCUAUCUGGCAGUCCUUAUCUGAUAAUGGCUAUCGUUUGCGAUUGAUGAUAUUAUCUCUUAGUUUAAUUCUGCCUAUAGCGAAUAAUUUGAUUUCAUUCACCGUCCAUUAUUUAGCUACUUCAGUGGCCUGUAUACUAGCCUUGCUAUCUCUAGGAGAAACAUAAAUGUCUAACGAUGUUGCCAUUCCUGGGACUGAAAAAUGGUCAUGUUUUUCACGCCCAACAGGUGUUACCUUUUGAUAAAGCAUGCACAUUAUUUACAAUCUCUUUGUCCAUUUCAGGGGAGAGCAUUUCAAAGGAAGCACGGACUGGAGGUGUAAGGUUAGAUGGCAAGCUAUUUUGCUCAUGCAGUUUGAUGAUAAAAUUCAUGAAGUCCACUUGUUUAUUUGUCUCAUGAUUAAUGGUUAUUUUUUUAACUUCCAAAAAUCGGCUAGCAAGUGAUAUACUAUGAUUAAACAUGUCAUAAUCCAUUGAUUUAUGGUCACGGUUACAUUUGAUAAUUUAUAAUCACAUAAAUGAACUUAAAUUGUUUCGGGCCUGGCAUGCUAGCAUUGCUUUACAUUAUAGUACAAUGAAUAUAUGAUGGAAACAACAUCGCAAGAUCACUCAGCACUAUAGGCCAGCACAGAAAACACACAUACACUUCUAGUUUACAUGACGAGUACUUCAUUUGUUUGCAUCAUCCAUGCAUGUUUAGCUUUCAAAAUAAAUUAUUAUGUUGUAACAAAACCUUAAUCUAAGCUGAUCAAAAGUAUGUGUAGAAUAGGGCUGCUUCGUGCAUUCCUAGGUGGUUUUCACCAAGUCAAUAAGCAGGUACAUAUAUGCUAGGUAUCCAAACGGUUGUAUAAUUGUAGUUGGUCUAAUUCUCUAUGAAAUUGUCCUUCUUUGCGUAAAGUGAAAUCUUCCCAGUUUUAUUAAUAGCAAAUGUUCUAUUUCUUGCAAAAGUGGGAUAAAACUGAAGUCUUGUUCUUUUCGAUCAAUUCGAGAAACAAAAACAAACCCUUGGCCAAUGGAAUUUUAGGGAGUAAAGAUAGAACAUAUGUGGUUGAAGGAAACAUGCUUGGAGAACAAUAUGUUGCAGUCUCUGUCCGUGGCUCAAUCUAGGAGAUGAGAACUGGUUAGACCAUAUGAAAAACUCCAAACAGCAGGAGAUGUUGGUUAUGUUAUUGCUUGGCCUUCCUCACAUGUAAGUAUGUUUCCAUACAACCAUCAAGUAUGCUCCAAUAUCCACAUUUAAGAUACUUUAGUUAUCAAAAUCUUUGUGGCUGUUUUUAGGUAAGAAAAAAACUAAGCCAACCACUCCAACGAAGCAUUUGUAUGAUACACUUAUAAUUUAUCAAAGAACAUCUUAUCUUGCACUUCUAAAAACAUUGUUCAUUUGCUUUUCUAGGGCGGUUCAGGAUUUGGAAAGAGAGUGCAUUAAGGGAGCCAGGAGUAAUUGGGUAGUUCAGGAUUUGAAAAGGGAGCCAGGAUUAGUUUGUGAAUGAACAAGUGGUGUUCCUUAUGUUAUAUUUUAGCUUAAUUGAGAAACAUAGUUCUAGACUAUAGGAUAUUUCUUAUUUAUUUGUAUGUUCUGUAUGAAUGUAUGUUAUUAUUCAGUUGUGAACUUUGGUGUAAGUAUCUACUCAGCUUGCCAAUUUUGAUAAUGCGAUGUUUGCAAAUGCAAUCUACGAC
rnacentral:lncRNA from 1 species